rnacentral:lncRNA from 1 species
CAGCGAUCCAACCCAUAUCAGUCUUCACCAGCAGUCCAAAACUUAUUCAAGUUAUCUCCAAGGUACCUGUUCUUUGGCUUUAAUUUGACAUUAGCUCCUUUUUUAUAUAUUGGCUGUGUCUGCAUGUUUAUGUCCUCCAUAUUUAGCCCCUAUUUGUUUCACUUGUAUUUAUUUCCUUCUUAAAAGAGCAAAAACACUCCACCCACCUCAUUCACAUUCUGAGCUGGCUUUUCCAAGCUUUUGUUUUGUACAUAGAUGUGUAAUUGUGUUUGGGGUUUAGAGACUACGGUCAUUCCAGCUACUUGUUUCUGCAAAGGAGCAUAAUGACUUCUCACAUCUAUCUUAAAUGAAGAGGGACAGCUAUACCCAAGAGCUGCAGUGAGGUUUAUCUGACCUAUAAUUUUACAGCAUUAUAAACCACAUUUCAGAUGAAACUUCAGGACCAGCAAACCAGUAAAGGUCUUGGUUCAGCAUUAUGAUGUAGUGAGUUUUCCUUCUGGUGAUGUCACAUCUGUUGCGCCAGAAGCAAGAAAUGCAUCGAGAUUUUGAAGGGCAUCUGCAAUGCUGUCUUUGGCUAAGGAGGAUGUUCAGAGUACAUAGCUACUCAGAAGUCAUCAAGAUGACAUGAAUGAAAUUGCCCAUGCAACGGAGUUCUGUGAACAGGAAUCUGGAGAAUUUCCAAAAAUACUUAGAACAGGUGGAAAGCAGUAAAAAUAUGUCCUUUCUCUUUCCAAAUUAGCCAUGUGGAUUUUAUUUUGAGUCAUGGUCUUAAGCUAUUUGCAAAUAGGAGAUUCUAGCACAGCAGAGACACUGGACUUUCUCACCUUGCUAGCCAUACGUGUUCUUCAUCUAUAGCCUUUCAGUAUCUCUAUACUCUACCUUUAUCCCUGUCUCUCAAACAUAUGACAAUCCAUCCACUACCUCAUUAAACACCUAUGCUUUUUCCAGAGUUUAAUGCUAGAUGCCCACAAGAAGACAUCUCCAUAUGGACAAUUACUUAAAUGGACUAUACAAAAACUAGCACAAAAGAAUUGAGGUGGAUAAGGAGCUGCAAAAGAAAGACAGCUUGUGUUGAAAAGAGAACAACUGCAUAACAUGGAACUUCAUAGAAUCAGUCUUAUUAUUUCAGUAUCCCUUAAUAGUUUCACUAGUAAUCUUAGGGGGAAAAAAAAUGAAAUUUACUGUUGAUUCCCAAUUUGCCAAUAGCACAUAUGUGAUAUUGGAGCCAAGAAAUGGUGUUACAUUAUAGGAUAACAAACAUCACUAUGAACUAGAGUCUAACAAAAACAUUUGGUAGUUUGUGAAUCUGAAGUCAAACAGCAUGACAAAAAAAUGUCGUUAGGGCUGAGCACAGAGAAGCUAUAAGCUAUCUGCACUGGAAAGUCGUGAAAGAAAGUAAGGCCAAUACUGUCUGUAUCAAUGUUUAAAUAAAGAUGAGACAAUGGCUAUUUUGCA